GAUAAAGGCCGAUAGAUACCUGGUAAUUAGUCCGAACCAGGUAGUUAAGACACACCUUGAUGGCUGCCGAUUAGAGAGAGAGAGAGAGAGAGAGAGAGAGAGAGAGAGAGAGAGAUCCUUCCCUCCCUCCUCCUUUCUUCCUAUCUUCCUUCCUUCCUUCCUUCCUUUCCUUCACCAUAUAUAAUCAAGAUCGAAAGAAAGAAUAAAGAAAAGAAAAAUGAAAGAAAAGAAAGAAAAAAAACAUACAAUUCACUUCCUCAUUGUUACAUUAACCUUGGUGGUGGUGCCUCUCUCUCUCUCUCUCUCUCUCUCUCUCUCUCUCUCUCUCUCAAAUAGCUAAGCGUCCGUUCCACUAGUAAGCUCACCACUCUAAUAAAAAAAUAAAAAUAAAAAACAUCGUAAAAAAAACAGCCUCAAAGAAAGGACUAAUUGGCAUCGUCGCAAAGGUGGAUGUUACGAAGUCGAAUUUUACCUUUCUUGGCCCUCCCUGACUCCCCCUCUCUCAGUUCGUCAGUGGCUCCCCGACCAUCGUGAGGGGAGGGUGUGCGUGUGCCUUGCUCCCGGUGUAGUGGAAGACCCAAGAAGACUGACAGAUUUAGGAGAGAGCGCGAGGAAGGAGGAGGAGGACUAGAGGAGCAGGAGGAGGAGGAAGGAAGAAGGAGGAAGAGGGGAUAAAACUGAAGGAGAAAGUGAGGAAGAAAAAAAAAAUAUUGACCCAGUGUUGUGUUGAAAAGAAAGAAAGGGAAAGAAAGUAAGAAAAGAAAGAAAGAGAGAAAGGAAUUUUGUGACCUAACGUGUGAUAACAAAACGCUAAGAAAAGAAAAGAAAAAGACACAAAGAGGAAA